UGGAGAGUCGUCCAAAGGUAGGACCGCAGAUUCUGGAUCUGCGUAUGCAGGUUCGAUUCCUGCCUCUCCAG
rnacentral:tRNA from 1 species